rnacentral:rRNA from 1 species
UACGUAGGGUGCAAGCGUUGUCCGGAAUUAUUGGGCGUAAAGAGCUCGUAGGCGGUCUGUUGCGUCGGCUGUGAAAACCCGGGGCUCAACUCCGGGCCUGCAGCCGAUACGGGCAGACUAAAGUUCGGCAGGGGAGACUGGAAUUCCUGGUGUAGCGGUGAAAUGCGCAGAUAUCAGGAGGAACACCGGUGGCGAAGGCGGGUCUCUGGGCCGAUACUGACGCUGAGGAGCGAAAGCGUGGGGAGCGAACAGG